rnacentral:rRNA from 1 species
UACGUAGGGUGCGAGCGUUAAUCGGAAUUACUGGGCGUAAAGCGUGCGCAGGCGGUUUUGUAAGUCAGAUGUGAAAGCCCCGGGCUCAACCUGGGAAUUGCAUUUGAAACUGCAAGGCUAGAGUGUGUCAGAGGGGGGUAGAAUUCCACGUGUAGCAGUGAAAUGCGUAGAGAUGUGGAGGAAUACCGAUGGCGAAGGCAGCCCCCUGGGAUAACGCUGACGCUCAUGCACGAAAGCGUGGGGAGCAAACAGG